rnacentral:rRNA from 1 species
CCCUUAGAUGUUCUGGGCCGCACGCGCGCUGCACUGAUGCAUUCAACGAGUGUACCUUGGCCGAGAGGCCUGGGCAAUCUUUUGAACGUGCAUCGUGAUAGGGAUAGAUUAUUGCAAUUAUUAAUCUUGAACGAGGAAUUCCUAGUAAACGCAGAUCAUCAAUCUGCAUUGAUUACGUCCCCGCCCUUUGUACACACCGCCCGUCGCACCUACCGAUUGGAUGGUCCGGUGAAGCCUCGGGAUUGUGGCGGUUGCCUUUAUUGGUGGCCGCCGCGAGAACUUGUCUAAACCUUAUCAUCUAGAGGAAGGUGAAGUCGUAACA